GAGGUACUAUUCAUUUGUCCCUUGCCUAUUUAGAUGACCAGUUCCGGUUAAUGUUUUAUUUAACAACUGAAGUCUUUCGAUUAAAUUCAGGAGUAUAUACAGAGCACACACUUAGUGAAAGAUCUUGCUUGUUUAUUUUCUGAGAUCUGGAAACUGGUUAAUGGUCAUGAUCAGGACAAUGUACAGAUGUGUUUCAGUGAUGCGCUGGAGCAUGUUUAUGAUGAAAAUCGGUAUCCAUUACGCAAACGUAAUUUGAACAACGAGUUGAGGUACACUGGUGGUUUGAACCUGCAGGAACUAGUAGUUUUUUUUUUCUUUUCCUUUCUUACACUUCCGCUUUGUGUUUUCAUUGGACAAUUAGUAUACCUCUUACGUUGCAAACUGCUUCAAUCAUCUUUCCUUGUAGUUUCGGCAGUGUACGCAGGGUAUCAGUAAGGAAGUAAGUACACUGUGGUGUGGUUUCCCAUACAUUGUGAUCUCUUAUGUAGACCGUAACUUUACAUCAGAUGUCACUCCUAAUUUGUGUGUAUAGGUUCCGGAUUCGAUAGCUCUUGAGUUAAUUUCCUGGGAAGUUAGGUUCAAGUGUGACCUGCCAAAGACAUAUGUGCAGUAUGCCAGAAAGAAGCUCAAGAUUGCAGAAACCAUAGGAUUGAUUCCCAAGGCCAAGAUAUUCGCGUAGUUGUUUGUUGCUUGUUGGCGUGGUGGUCAUUUGGAAUAAGUUUCAGAAAAUAAACUGUAAUAUUCCAGGGUAGCUACUGCAUCUAUGGUUAAACGCCUAUGUAUAUGGAGAUGCAUGUUCAUGUAAUUUAAUUUCGUUCCUUUGGAGGAAAUUGCUCUUAUUUGUACGUAGUUUAAUAUGUGUCCCUAGAUCUUGCUUGAUAAUUAAAUACAUUGAUUGGGUUUGUA